rnacentral:tRNA from 1 species
GACUGUGGCUCAGAGGUAGAGCAAUUGUUUAGCAUGCAUGAGGCACUGGGUUCAAUUCUCAGCACCA